UAGGGAAUCUUCGGCAAUGGGGGGAACCCUGACCGAGCAACGCCGCGUGAGUGAAGAAGGUGUUCGGAUCGUAAAGCUCUGUUGUUAAGGAAGAACGAGUGUGAGAAUGGAAAGUUCAUGCUGUGACGGUACUUAACCAGAAAGGGACGGCUAACUACGUGCCAGCAGCCGCGGUAAUACGUAGGUACCGAGCGUUGUCCGGAUUUAUUGGGCGUAAAGCGAGCGCAGGCGGUUAGAAAAGUCUGAAGUGAAAGGCAGUGGCUCAACCAUUGUAGGCUUUGGAAACUGUUUAGCUUGAGUGCAGAAGGGGAGAGUGGAAUUCCAUGUGUAGCGGUGAAAUGCGUAGAUAUAUGGAGGAACACCGGUGGCGAAAGCGGCUCUCUGGUCUGUAACUGACGCUGAGGCUCGAAAGCGUGGGGAGCGAACAGG
rnacentral:rRNA from 1 species